GCCCUCGUAUGGCUUACAGUGCAAUUCAUCAUGGCGGAAUCGUGGGACGCACUCAACCAUCGAAGCUUGCGGGACAUUGACAGACAUCACACAUCAGUCUCCAUUGCAUUCCUGGAUCAACAUUUACUGGACUCCAUGCCUUUGUUCGUUUUAAUGGUUAUUUAUUUGAAGACUCAACCGCAGUUUUGCUUCACGUUGGAACAAACAAUCUUGAACGGGGAGUUUGGGAGAAGGACGAGAAGGAUUUUGUUCAGCUUAUUCCUUUCAAUAAAAUAAAAAUCUCUGAUACUUCCAAAGUUCCAAGGUGGGAUUCCGGAGCUUCACACGAACAAUGCAUUCAUUAUAUUAAUAGAAAACUGACUGAACUGUCACCUUUAUACAAUUUAACAAUAUUUAACUCUAAUAAUACUUUUAUUCUCAGCGACA